rnacentral:rRNA from 1 species
ACUGAAUAGAUACCCGGGUAGUCCUGGCGGUAAACGAUGACCACGAGGUGUGCGGCGUAUCGACCCGCUGCGUGCCGCAGCUAACGCGAUCAGUGGUCCGCCUGGGGAGUACGGUCGCAAGAUUAAAACUCAAAGGAAUUGACGGGGACCCGCACAAGCAGCGGAGCGUGUGGUUUAAUUCGAUGCGACGCGAAGCACCUUACCAGGGUUUGACAUGCCAGCAAAACCUCCUGAAAGGGAGGCUCCUUCGGGGUGCUGGCACAGGUGCUGCAUGGCUGUCGUCAGCUUGUGCCGUGAGGUGUUGGGUU